UUGAUUUUCAUUUUUUAGCAGUUUAUCCGGUAGAGUUACAGUUUACAUGCAAUAUACUCGAAUAAAGAAAAAUGUAUUUCUUUCAUUCUGAUUUUCUUUCUUUCUUUCUUCUUUUUGCUAUCGAGUGCCACCCGAAUAUUAAAUUGGAGAGAUAACUGGACCUGGCUGGAAACUAAAGAUGGUGAAUGUAAGUACUAGCUCAAUUGCUUUGAUCUUCGGGAGUCGCUAUCUUUUCAAACGUAGGCAUUGUUAUCCUAUGGAUUUAAAUGCUUUUACCUAGCUAAUUAUCUUUUUAAGUUAAAUAAGUUCUAUUAAACUUUUCAAGUCUGCAGAUUUAAAUGAACGAUUGGAUAGAAAUAUUAGCUUAUGUUGUGAACUUUAUUUGAGCUGUUUUGGGUUUGUACUUGGUUAGGAUUUAGAAUCCGGUUUGACUUGAAACUUUUUGGUGGUGUUCUUGAAUGUCUGUACUUUUGAUAUGGUAAGUGUAGUGUCCUAUGUUAAGCUAGAUAAAUGGUAGUGUUUUUCUGACGUUAAAGUGCUUUGUGCUGAAAUUGUUCUCAAUGCUGUUUUGAAUUCGAAAUUGAUUAGGAUAUAAGAUUUUGUUUUGCUUGAAAUUAUGUGGAGUUGUUCUUCAAUGUGUGAACUCUUGAUCUGAAAAGUUUAGUGUCCUAUGAAUAAUCUAGAUAACUGGUAGUGAUUUUCUGAAGUUAAGUGCUUUGUACUAAAAUUGUUGUCAGUGUUAUGCGCUGCAGCUGUUCUGUGUUUGAAUUUGUUUAGGCUUUAUGAUUCUGUUUGGCUUGAAAUAUAGUGAAGUUGAUAUUCCAUGUGUGUACUACUGAUCUGAAAAAGUUUAGUGUUCUUUGAUAAGCUAGAUAAAUUAUAGUGAGUUUCCGAUGUUAGGUGCUCAUUGAUGAGUACUUUUCUGCCAUGUACGCUUUUGUAUGAGAUAUCUUUGUUUGGGUUAGUGUGCGCCCUAUCCAGAAAUGAAUAGUGUGGGGCUAGUGUAGGUCCUAUUCAUAAGGGAAUAAUGUGGCAUGUUUCGGUAAGUGCUCUGUGAAAUGACUCUCCCCUUUUUAGUUGUACAGAGGGUUAUGUGUUUGCCCUCAAAUUGGGAUAUUUUUGCCUUAUGAGAUGUGAAUAAGGCAAGACCUAUGAGAUGUCAAGUGUACUGUUUGAAUAUGUGAGCUUUGAUGUGAAUAGGACUUGAUGUGUUUGAUUAGAAAUUUUAGAAUCAUGUAUAAAAUUUAUGUCUCUUGUAACAAAUUACUAAUGUGAUAUUUUGUUCUCUGUCAGUUGGUUAGUGUAGGUUCUGUUCAUAGGAGACUAAAGUGGUAUGUUCCGAUAAGUUCUCUGCGAAAUGACUCCCCCUUUUAGUUGUAAAAAGGGUUAUAUGGUUGUCCUCAAAUUGUGAUAUUUUUUGCCUUAUAACAAGGCAAGACCUAUGAGAUGUGAAGUGUACUGUUUAAAUAUGUGAGCUUUGAUGUCAAUAAGACUUGAUGUGCUUGAUUAGAAAUUUUAGAAUCAUGUAUAAGAUUAAUGUCUCUUGCAACAAAUUACUAGUGUGCUA
rnacentral:lncRNA from 1 species